GAUGAACGCUAGCGGCGCGCCUUAUGCAUGCAAGUCGUACGGUUUCUCGCAAGAGGGACAGUGGCGAACGGGUGAGUAAUAGUUAGGUAACCUGCCUUUAAGUGGGGGAUAACACUUCGAAAGAAGUGCUAAUACCGCAUGUGGUGCUCUUUCAUAAGAAGGAUCACUAAAACCGCAAGGUGCUUGAAGAGGGGCCUGACUCCGAUUAGCUAGUUGGUGGGGUAACGGCCUACCAAGGCUAUGAUCGGUAGCUGGUCUGAGAGGAUGGUCAGCCACACUGGGACUGAGACACGGCCCAGACUCCUACGGGAGGCAG
rnacentral:rRNA from 1 species